rnacentral:rRNA from 1 species
UACGAAGGGGACUAGCGUUGUUCGGAUUUACUGGGCGUAAAGCGCGCGUAGGCGGAUCGCUAAGUCAGGGGUGAAAUCCCAGGGCUCAACCCUGGAACUGCCUUUGAUACUGACGGUCUGGAGAUCGGGAGAGGUUGGUGGAAUUCCGAGUGUAGAGGUGAAAUUCGUAGAUAUUCGGAGGAACACCAGAAGCGAAGGCGGCUCUCUGGGACGGUACUGACGCUGAGACGCGAAAGCGUGGGGAGCGAACAGG